rnacentral:tRNA from 1 species
GAGCAGGUAGCUUAGUGGAUAAAGUAUUAGAUUCCGAUUCUAAAGACAAGGGUUCGAUUCCCUUCCUGCUCU